GUUUGCUGUCUCUGCUUAUGGAUCUCCUUUUGGAAGCUCUGGAGCUGUUGUCAAAGGAGAAAGCUGGAAACUUGAAAACUGCUGGGCCCAACUGUUUAAUGGCUUUUACAGAAAAAGCCAUGGAAGCAUUAUGGGAAACAGCAUCAAAUCCCAUCCACCAGAUCUGAAUAUGAUACAGAGGAAAAGUGAAACUGGAUAUAUGCUCCAUUUGGGUAACAUUUCUUCACUUCUUAAAAGGACAAAUGCCAUCUGAGCUUAUAUAGAGCAUUCAAUUCAAGGAAGCAGCAGCUUUUAACAAAGGAAGGAUGUUGAACAUCUGAAAGUAGGGAGUGCGGAGUUCACUGCAGGUCACCAUUAAGGACAAGAACAAGGUAAUGUAAGAGGCUGUGUGAUUCCAGGUUGACAGGAGGAUUUUAAAAGAUCAAAAGUGUUUUUUAUAUAUGUUUUAGAGGACCAGAAGUGCUUUCAGUCAACAGAUGAAAAUGCUAAUGUUUAGAAAUGAUGAAAGCAAGACAAAUGUGGUGGUGAAUUCCAACUGAGUCAUCAAAACAACAAGUAUUCUUAGUCUGUGGUUUUUAAAAGAUUAUUGCAAAUUGUCCAUCAGUGCAGGUGUGGUAAAAAUGGCUAUUCUGCUGCUAUAUGAACAGCUCACUGCAUUUGUUAUUUUGGGAUGGCAGAGUUGACAGUGAGUUGUGACUUGCAGUAUUUCUCCUUUUAGAGCUAGAUGUAUUUGAAUAAGUCUGUUAAUUAUUUAAGCUUUACGUUGUGCUCUCUUCCUGUCAGCAACAGCAAUAGAAAUGUUUUUACUGUAUAAUUAAGGAGCUGGAGAGAAAAGAAAGAAACAUUUAAUAGCUGUUUCUGAUAGAACCUUCAUCAGUUUAGUGUGAAAAAGAAAAAUGAUGGAGUAAUAUUGCCACCAGCAAUCCCUCAGUCAGGUGACUUUUUUGCUGGAUCAAUUCUGGUUGCUAAGCAACAAGCAAAAAGGCACAGUUAUGUUUUGGUAAAUCUUUUAUUUUUGAAUAUUUUGUGCUGGAGUUUCAGACACUGUAUCUGUCACUAAUGCUCUUGAUUCAAGACUCAGGGUAUCUUCUGAGCCAUAAAAGCCCAUCUUUUCUUAUUUAAAAGGGAUUAUGUUAUUUAGUUUCCAGAAAAACUUUUGCAGCUAAUACAUACUUGAAAAUGCAAAACUGAGCCAGUGAUUAGAGAAUUUGUUAAAGAAAAACCACAGAAAAAUCAUUACAACAACUUUGACAUUUUUGGUUAAUGAUAUCUACAUUAAUGAGUUAAUUGCCAAUGCAUCACAUUUUAUGCCACUAUCAAAUAUUAAUGUUAUCAAUGUUAUAAUAAUAGCAUCUAUUGAUAUAAUUGAAGCUUGCUUUCCAAUAGGUGUCACCAUGAAUAAUACCAUUGCAGUAUUAAAAUCAAUAAUAAGAAUAUUAGGAGGGCAUUAUAAAAUGUCAAUACAAUGAAAACCACUUAAAUGAAUGCUUGAUAUAAAACAAACUGACUAAAUAUACUAAGCUAUAAUUUAAAAGAAUAAAUUCACAACUCUGUGUAUAACAGUUUGGACACUGUAACUCUACCAUUCUUAAAAACAUCAUACUGAAAGUAAUAAACAAAAUACUUAUGAAGGGAAGAAAUCAUCAUGCAUUCAGUGAGAAAAUAUUCAAAGAGUAUAUGUUGGAGGAAAGUAUAAAUAUUGUAGGUGGUUUGGUGUUACGUUUGAGAUAAAACCUUAGUGUUGCAAGUGUCCAAGAUCUGCUAGCAAAUAUCAGUGCCUGUCUUCCUCUGAGGUCAGUUCUAGGCAGACGCUGCUGAUGCCUGGCAGGAUACGUGCACUGUGUAUAAAAAAAUCAACUGCCCAGCCCUGGAAGAGGACUGGGAAGACAAAAUUCCAAUUUUCCAACAUGAAACAUCUUGUCAGUCUGUGGCCAUUGCUUUUCCAUUUCAGUGGUGGUGAAUUGGCACAAAGCUGAGGGUCUGAGGGUAAUUCUCUGUUCCUUUCAGCACCUGACAAUGAGGCAAAAAUAAAGAAAGGUCACAAGCAAGCUUUGAAAAUGUAGCACCUGAAUAUAGCCAGUUCUGUUUGUGUGAAAUAGCAAGCAGAGCAAAUAUUUUGGGGGGAAAUAGGCACAGCUAAAGUACUUAAUUUCCAUUCAGUGGACUGGGUGAAACUCCCUCAGUCUGGAUUGGUUUGGGCAUUCACCCUGGCACCCACAGGAGCG